rnacentral:rRNA from 1 species
GAUUAACGCUGGCGGCGUGCCUAAUACAUGCAAGUAGGACGCAGUUGCGAACGGGUGAUUAACGCCUAGGUAACUGCCUAUUAGAGGGGGAUAACUAUUGGAAACGAUAGCUAAUACCGCAUACUAGUAGAUGGACCUGCGUUGUAUUAGCUAGUAGGUAGGGUAAAGGGCUAACUAGGCAACGAUACAUCGCCGACCUGGGAGGGUGAUCGGCCCAACUGGGAAUGGGGCACGGCCCAGACUCCGACGGGAGGCAGCAGUAGGGAAUCUUCGGCAAUGGGGGGAACCCUGACCGAGCAACGCCGCGUGAGGGAAGAAGGUUUUCGGAUCGUAAAGCUCUGUUGUUAAGGAAGCGGUACUUAACCAGAAAGGGACGGCUAACUACGUGCCAGCAGCCGCGGUAAUAC